CCUACGGGAGGCAGCAGUAGGGAAUCUUCCUCAAUGGGGGAAACCCUGACGCAGCAACGCCGCGUGGAGGAUGAAGGUUUUCGGAUUGUAAAACUCUUUUGUUAGAGAAGAUAAUGACGGUAUCUAACGAAUAAGCACUGGCCAAUUCCGUGCCAGCAGCCGAGGUAAUACGUCGGGGGCAAGCGUUACUCGGAAUCAAUGGGGGUAAAGCGCGCGUAGGCUGGUUAGCAAGUCAGAUGUGAAAUCCUAUGGCUUAACCAUAGAACUGCAUUUGAAACUGUUAUUCUGGAGUAUGGGAGAGGUAGGUGGAAUUCUUGGUGUAGGGGUAAAAUCCGCAGAGAUCAAGAGGAAUACUCAUUGCGAAGGCGACUUGCUAGAACAUAACUGACGCUGAUGCGCGAAAGCGUGGGGAGCAAACAGGAUUAGAUACCCGAGUAGUC
rnacentral:rRNA from 1 species